UACGUAGGGACCGAGCGUUGUCCGGAUUCAUUGGGCGUAAAGAGCUCGUAGGCGGCUGUUCAAGUCGAACGUGAAAACUCGGAGCUCAACUCCGAGCCUGCGUUCGAUACUGGACGGCUAGAGUCUGGUAGGGGGAUCUGGAAUUCCUGGUGUAGCGGUGGAAUGCGCAGAUAUCAGGAGGAACACCCGUGGCGAAGGCGGCUCUCUGGGACGGUACUGACGCUGAGACGCGAAAGCGUGGGGAGCGAACAGG
rnacentral:rRNA from 1 species